CUUGAAAUGAUGAUGUUGUUGUUGUGAACCAAAUUGUGACCGAUUGUUGGUGCGGGUUUGAGACUUGAACGUGUGAUGUAUUGUUGGUUGAAGGUUUGAACGAGUAUGGUGGUUAUUGUGUUGUAUUUUUAAGCUUGGAAAGGUGUUGUUGAUGUUUGGGGUCCAACUUGAACCUUAGAACUUCAAGAUUCAAAAAUUGUGUUCUUCACAUCUUAAUCUAUUGUUGAAGAAAAAGUGAAUGUUUG
rnacentral:lncRNA from 1 species